rnacentral:rRNA from 1 species
GACAUAGGUGGCAAACGUUAUCCGGAAUUAUUGGGCGUAAAGGGUGCGUAGGUGGCGCCGUAAGUCGGGUGUGAAAUUUCGGAGCUUAACUCCGAAACUGCAUUCGAUACUGCGGUGCUUGAGGACUGGAGAGGAGACUGGAAUUCAUGGUGUAGCAGUGAAAUGCGUAGAGAUCAUGAGGAAGACCAGUGGCGAAGGCGGGUCUCUGGACAGUUCCUGACGCUGAGGCACGAAGGCCAGGGGAGCAAACGGG